UUAUAUCGCGCUGCCUUUCUGCUAGUAAAGUUAGGGCAGUAUUUUGAUUUUUUGUUGUGAUUGUGAAAAAUGUCGCCAUUGUAGGUCGUUUAUGCUGAAUCGAGAAUUGCAACAGGAGCUCACAUCAUUGUUCAGGGAAAAAACUGGAUAGUGUAAUACAAUUGUUGCCUUUUAUAUGUGUAAAAACACAGUAAGGGAAGCAGGUUGAGGAGGUGACGGGAAGACGCCGUAUAUUAAAUGUAAUAAUGUCAUUUAACCCACUCACUAUCGCUCAAUAAAAUAAACACAUAGCUGAGUGUUUUUGAAAGUGUUGUCUUUGUUGUUGAAUCGACUUCUGUCAGCUUGUUAAACAUUUAUUUAUUUGGACAUUUUCUACCAUAUGAUGGCUAAAGCAGCAGCGCGUGACACUGUUCUCAUGGUAACCAGAUCAACAUUGUGAACGGAAUUCUACAAAACUGAAGUGAAAACACCAAAUUAUCAUUCAGUGGAAUAAAAUAGCUUCUCUUCCCUGCAAAUGAUACCAUGAAGAAGGUGGAUAUUGAACCAAGUCAAAAACAAAUAAGCUAAUGAGAAGAUGUGAUAAUAUUGCAGUAAACAAAUGACAGACCUAUGUCACAUCCAAUCCAUUAUGAAAAGAAAAAUUUCCUUAGUAUGAAGAAAGGAUGAAAAAGAAGAAGAAGAAAAAAACAAAAAACAAAAGCAUAUCCUAUAUUUGGAGUGUGUGAGGCUGCAGCGUUCGAGCCAGACACUACAGGGCGAACGUCAGAGUCUUGGCGCAGACGCGAGAAGCCCGUGAUCUUUUGACAGCGUUCUCUACCUGAUGACAUUCUCCAGAGGGCUAUCCGUACUCCCAGACCAUCUGUGAAUGCACUCAGUCUAUGAAACUCACUUUCAAAAAAGGCCAGAUGGAAGUUCACCCUACAGGAUCUGAGGUCACCAACACAGUCUGCCACAGGGAAGCAAUGAUACCCAAGAAUGUAUGUUGGAGUGCAUGUACUGGUGCUACAGCUUAACACAGAUGCCCCUGCUGCGGAUCGACAAGCUCCACACAGUGAGAUGGACUCCCAGUAAAAGCUAAUCCUUCACCCUCCGCGUUCUCCAGCUGCUACAAUGGCCAUUGUAGCUCAAAGGACUUGUCAACAACUGGGAAAACUGAAAGCCCUUUUGUUGUGAGUUUGUCUACAUUAUCUAAAGUGUCCUCAAACCACUCAGUGAAGAACAGGGGUGGGCUAUCUAUCAGCCCUGUGCUGUAUAAAGUGUGACUUUUAGCAUUAGUUUAAAUGGUUUCAAUUCAAUACACAACCACAGCAGUGAUUUCUCUGAAAACACUUUUUUUCUUCUUUUUUUUUUCUAAAUGGUAAAGAAAAACAUGUGUUGGUGUUUUCUGCAAUUAACAGUUUGGGUGGAUUUUCAGAUUUUCAGAUGAUUUUGGCUUUAUGGUAUAGGCUUUUUAUGUUACUUUUUAAAUUAGGGGCCAAGUGCCGAAGGUGCGUAGGCACCUAUUAUAAUCGUUGGCGUUCUUAUUAUUAUUUUUACGUUUCCACUCUGGAAGUCUAUGGCAGCCCAUAGAACUGCUUGUGGGAAUGUUAUGAAAUAUGGCACACUGACAGAGGACAGUCUGAACUGUCACCAUAGUAAAUUUGGAGUCUCUAACUCAAACCCCCUAGCACCGCCAACUGUCCAAAGUUGUACUCGUGUUUAUCUUAAUAGCUUUUGAACUGUAAGGGCUAGAAACAGUGAUUCCUCUGAUUCCUUGGCUCAAGACGAUUUCCCGCCAUUUUGAAUUUUCCAUUUUCAUCAAAAUUGAACCAGAUCAUCUUCAGACCAUACUGAUAAAAAUUUAGAAUUUUUGAAUUUUGUCACAAAAUGCUAUAUUUUUUACGAACGCAUUGGCAUAUUGUUAUGAAACUCGGUAUGUGUCUUCGACACCAUGUCCUGAUGAUACUCAAAUAGUUUUGGUGCAGCACCACCUUGUGGUCAAAAGUUUGAAAUUUACAAAUAUGCUAAUAACUUUUGAGUAAAUUAGCCGAUUGUAAUGAAACUCGUCUUAAUGAUUCCUUGGGUCAUGCCAAGAAUAUAGAUACCAGAAUUGACCAUAGUCAGCCACUUCCUGUCCACCAUUUUGAUUUUCUUUAAAAACUUACUUUUUCGAACUCCUAGACCAUUAGUCCAAUUUUCACUAAAAUUGAAUCAUAUCAUUUUCAGACCAUGCUGGCAAAAAGUUAUGGAUUUUGUAAACCACGGCAACAAAGUUGAGGCAUGAUGCCAAAGCAACUUUUGAGGCUAUAUCUCUGCAAUGCUAUGAAAUAUUGACACCAAACUUUGUCACCUCACUCUACACCACAUCAAAUUAGUCACAGAGCCACCUAUUGGUCGAAAGUCAUAAACCAUUAAAGUUUGCCUGUGUUUAUGAUUUUUUUUUUUAGGCAUUUUGAAUAAAAUCAUCUUAAUAUGCCUUUAAUUGCUCAUUGUUGCAGUUAGUCUGACG